AUUGAACGCUGGCGGCAGGCCUAACACAUGCAAGUCGAACGGUAACAGGAAGCAGCUUGCUGCUUUGCUGACGAGUGGCGGACGGUUGGGAAAUGUCUGGGAAACUGCCGGAUGGGGGGGGAUAACUACUGAAAAGGGUAGCUAAUACCUCUUAACGUCUCAAGACCAAGGAGGGGGACCUAGGGGCCUCUUGCAAUGGGAUGUGCCCAGAUGGGAUUAGCUGGUGGGUGGGGUAACGGCUCACCUAGGCGACGAUCCCUAGCUGGUCUGAGAGGAUGACCAGCCACACUGGAACUGAGACACGGUCCAGACUCCUACGGGAGGCAGCAGUGGGGAAUAUUGCACAAUGGGCGCAAGCCUGAUGCAGCCAUGCCGCGUGUAUGAAGAAGGCCUUCGGGUUGUAAAGUACUUUCAGCGGGGAGGAAGGGAGUAAAGUUAAUACCUUUGCUCAUUGACGUUACCCGCAGAAGAAGCACCGGCUAACUCCGUG
rnacentral:rRNA from 1 species